rnacentral:snoRNA from 1 species
ACACCAUGAUGUGGGCAGUUCUUCAACAACAUUUUAAACCUAUUGAAUGCUUCAUGAAAUAACUCAUGAGAUUGUUGUUGAAAGUUUCUAAUGUCUCUCCUGGCAU